CCGGGCUCAACUCGGAAAGGCCAAGUGAUACUGUCAUGCUAGAGUGCGGAAGGGGCAACUGGAAUUCUCGGUGUAGCGGUGAAAUGCGUAGAUAUCGAGAGGAACACCUGCGGCGAAGGCGGGUUGCUGGGCCGACACUGACGCUGAGCGCGCGAAAGCUAGGGGAGCGAACGGGAUUAGAUACCCCGGUAGUCCUAGCCUUAAACGAUGGAUGCUUGGUGUCCGGGGUUAGAUAGUCCUCGGGUGCCGUCGCUAACGCUUUUAGCAUCCCGCCUGGGGAGUACGGUCGCAAGACUGAAACUCAAAGGAAUUGACGGGGACCCGCACAAGCGGUGGAGCAUGUGGUUUAAUUCGACGCAACGCGAAGAACCUUACCUGGGCUAGAAUGCUCCUGACAACUCCAGAGAUGGAGCUUCUUAGGGAAACUUAAGCAGGAUGCAAGGUACUGCAUGGCUGUCGUCAGCUCGUGUCGUGAGCAUGUGGGUUAACGUCCCGCAACGA
rnacentral:rRNA from 1 species